rnacentral:pre_miRNA from 1 species
UUAUUCAGAAAGGAGCAGAUUGCUUAUACUGCAUGUAAUUUGCACCGUUCUGAGUAGA